rnacentral:rRNA from 1 species
GGCCUUUAUAUGGUGGACUACAAGUGCGCUACUUUUUCUUUUUUUUAUGAAUAAAUAUUCAUAAUUUUAAAUCGGAUUGCUCUUUGCAAUUAUGAGCAUAAAGUAGGAAUAGCGAGUAAUA